CCUACGGGGUGCAGCAGUGGGGAAUAUUGGACAAUGGGCGAAAGCCUGAUCCAGCCAUGUCGCGUGUGUGAAGAAGGCCUUCGGGUUGUAAAGCACUUUCAGUGGGGAAGAAAGCCUUGGGGCUAAUACCCUCGAGGAAGGACAUCACCCACAGAAGAAGCACCGGCUAACUCCGUGCCAGCAGCCGCGGUAAUACGGAGGGUGCGAGCGUUAAUCGGAAUUACUGGGCGUAAAGCGCGCGUAGGCGGUCUGAUAAGCCGGUUGUGAAAGCCCCGGGCUCAACCUGGGAACGGCAUCCGGAACUGUCAGGCUAGAGUGCAGGAGAGGAAGGUAGAAUUCCCGGUGUAGCGGUGAAAUGCGUAGAGAUCGGGAGGAAUACCAGUGGCGAAGGCGGCCUUCUGGACUGACACUGACGCUGAGGUGCGAAAGCGUGGGUAGCAAACAGGAUUAGAUACCCGUGUAGUC
rnacentral:rRNA from 1 species